UUAGGAUCAUUAACAUAGCAGGCUAGGAUCAUUAACAUAGCAGACUAGGAUCAUUAACAUAGCAGACUAGGAUCAUUAACAUAGCAGGUUAGGAUAAUUAACAUAGCAGGUUAGGAUAAUUAGCAUAGCAGGUUAGGAUAAUUAACCUAGCAGGUUAGGAUAAUUAACCUAGCAGGUUAGGGUAAUUAACAUAGCAGGUUAGGAUAAUUAACAUAGCAGGCUAGGAUAAUUAGCAUAGCAGGUUAGGAUAAUUAGCAUAGCAGGUUAGGAUAAUUAGCGUAGCAGGUUAGGAUAAUUAGCGUAGCAGGUUAGGAUAAUUAACGUAGCAGGUUAGGAUAAUUAGCGUAGCAGGUUAGGAUAAUUAGCGUAGCAGGUUAGGAUAAUUAACGUAGCAGGUUAGGAUAAUUAACGUAGCAGGUUAGGAUAAUUAACGUAGCAGGUUAGGAUAAUUAACAUAGCAGGUUAGAAUAAUUAUCAUAGCAGGUUAGGAUAAUUAACAUAGCAGGUUAGGAUAAUUAACAUAGCAGGUUAGGAUAAUUAACAUAGCAGGUUAGGAUAAUUAACAUAGCAGGUUAGGAUAAUUAACAUAGCAGGUUAGGAUAAUUAACAUAGCAGGUUAGGAUAAUUAACAUAGCAGGUUAGGAUAAUUAACAUAGCAGGUUAGGAUAAUUAACAUAGCAGGUUAGGAUAAUUAACAUAGCAGGCUAGGAUAAUUAGCAUAGCAGGCUAGGAUAAUUAACAUAGCAGGUUAGGAUAAUUAGCAUAGCAGGCUAGGAUAAUUAACAUAGCAGGUUAGGAUAAUUAUUAGGGUAAGGAAAAGGUUUAGCUAAAAUGCAACAAACAAAAAAAAUGACUUGACAUUAAUUUACCAAUAGCUGGAUCCCUUCUAGCCAUGACCCCUUUUCAUAGGCCUAGAUUAUAUGGUUAGAUUCUAGACAAGGUCGUUUUCAUUCAUCUGUUGUCAAGUGUCAGCAGAGUAGGCCUACACUACCAUCGUAUUUAAAAAAAUAUAUUCUGCUAAUGUCUCCAGUCAUUUUACAUGAAAUGUUUGUCAUAAGGCCACAGAAAGGUCUCUAGAAUAACCUAUAGGCCGAUGCCACUACCCACUUAUUAAUAGCCUACAUUAUGACCAUCCAAUCUACUCAUCACAUUAGGAAUACUAGACUUACAUUAGUUUGCAAAUGCGAUGAUAAAUGCAUGUUAUAAAAAGGUGCAUGUCUUAAUGGUGCAAAAAUUGCUUCCCCUAAAAUGUUAAACUCACGCAACACAUGCUAAUAGCUAGACUACAAGCUAAUAGCUAGACUACAUGCUAAUAGCUAGACUACAGGCUAAUAGCUAGACUACAGGCUAAUAGCUAGACUACAAGCUAAUAGCUAGACUACAAGCUAAUAGCUAGACUACAGGCUAAUAGCUAGACUACAGGCUAAUAGCUAGACUACAAGCUAAUAGCUAGACUACAAGCUAAUAGCUAGACUACAACAAGCUUUCUUUCCAGCUAAUUUUGUCUAAUAGUGUUGUCAACACCUGGUUAGCAUAACGGCUAAACUAAACUGGAAAUUGAUCAGACUUGACUUACCAGUGAUGAAAUGAUCGUAGCAGACCCUGUACUGACAGUUGUCUGGGUUCAGGUCUUGACUUACCAGUGAUGAAAUGAUCGUAGCAGACCCUGUACUGACAGUUGUCUGGGUUCAGGUCUUGACUUACCAGUGAUGAAAUGAUCGUAGCAGAUCUUGUACUGACAGUUGUCUGGGUUCAGGUCUUGACAGGCAAAAAGGUUUCAUCGCUUUUCUGACAGUUGGUGUAUCCUGGCGUUUCAUGAUUGCGGGGAAUCCAUAAACAUGCCCCCCCCCCCCCGUUGUCUUUCCUGCCAUGUUAGAGCAGCCAAAUACUGAUGAAUCAAAGACGUUUUAGGCACUGUUAUCAUGUUCUUUCUGGAAACUUGUCAGCUGUUAUCGGAAGAAUUAAUGCGGUGGUCUUCCAACAUGGCCACCAGGUGGCAUCAUACGUCAACUG